rnacentral:lncRNA from 1 species
CGUCUUCCUCUGCGGCAUGAGGGUUGGGUGGGGGGUGGUUUGCCAUCAGUUCCUUUAUAAGAUUGGAGGUUUCUUAGCUGCGAUAUGGACUCUGUGUGGGUGCUGUUCACCCCAGAAGGCUCCACGUCACCCUCCCGGGGCUUGGGGACAGUCCGUCGGCUGAGGUGUCCGGUGUGGUCAGCGAUGGAUUAUUAAUGCGUGUUCUCCGGUUACCUGGGUGGACCAGAACCUCCAUCUGCAAUUCAGUGGA